GACGAACGCUGGCGGCGUGCUUAACACAUGCAAGUCGGACGGUCGGGCUAUGAAGGUUCGCUGGAUUGGCUCGAUAGUGGCGGACGGGUGAGUAACGCGUGAGGACAUGUCUUCAGGAGGGGGAUAACGUUUGGAAACGGACGCUAAGACCCCGUAUGCCGGAGGGUGAAAGUGGCGCGAGCCAGCCUGGGGAGUGACUCGCGGCCUAUCAGCUAGUUGGCGGGGUGAAGGCCCACCAAGGCGAUGACGGGUAGCCGACCUGAGAGGGUGGCCGGCCACACUGGAACUGAGAUACGGUCCAGACUCCUACGAGAGGCAGCAGUGGGGAAUAUUGGGCAAUGGGCGAAAGCCUGACCCAGCGACGCCGCGUGGGGGAAGAAGUCUUUCGGGAUGUAAACCCUUGUUGUACGGGACGAAGGAAGUGACGGUACCGUACGAGGAAGCCCCGGCAAACUACGUGCCAGCAGCCGCGGUAACAC
rnacentral:rRNA from 1 species